rnacentral:rRNA from 1 species
GAUGAACGCUGGCGGCGUGCCUAAUACAUGCAAGUCGAGCGAACGGACGAGAAGCUUGCUUUUCUGAUGUUAGCGGCGGACGGGUGAGUAACACGUGGAUAACCUACCUAUAAGACUGGGAUAACUUCGGGAAACCGGAGCUAAUACCGGAUAAUAUUUUGGACCGCAUGGUUCAAAAGUGAAAGACGGUCUUGCUGUCACUUAUAGAUGGAUCCGCGCUGCAUUAGCUAGUUGGUAAGGUAACGGCUUACCAAGGCAACGAUGCAUAGCCGACCUGAGAGGGUGAUCGGCCACACUGGAACUGAGACACGGUCCAGACUCCUACGGGAGGCAGCAGUAGGGAAUCUUCCGCAAUGGGCGAAAGCCUGACGGAGCAACGCCGCGUGAGUGAUGAAGGUCUUCGGAUCGUAAAACUCUGCUAUUAGGGAAGAACAUAUGUGUAAGUAACUGUGCACAUCUUGACGGUACCUAAUCAGAAAGCCACGGCUAACUACGUG